rfam:Stegodyphus mimosarum contig113823, whole genome shotgun sequence.
GCCUUCGUGGUGUAAUGGUCAGCACACUCGGCGUGUAUUCGAGAGGUCCGAGGUUCGAGUCCCAGAGAAGGCA